CGUGGGUAACCUGCCCAAGAGAUCGGGAUAACACCUGGAAACAGAUGCUAAUACCGGAUAACAACAGAUGAUGCCUAUCANGUUUAAAAGAUGGUUCUGCUAUCACUCUUGGAUGGACCUGCGGUGCAUUAGCUAGUUGGUAGGGUAACGGCCUACCAAGGCGAUGAUGCAUAGCCGAGUUGAGAGACUGAUCGGCCACAUUGGGACUGAGACACGGCCCAAACUCCUACGGGAGGCAGCAGGG
rnacentral:rRNA from 1 species